UCCCCAGCUGUUCCUGGACUACAGCUCCCAUCAUCCCUGGCCACUGGUCCUGCUAGCUAUGGAUGAUGGGAGUUGCAGUCCAACAACAGCUGGGGA